rnacentral:rRNA from 1 species
GAGUCUCAGCUCUACCUUAAUUUUAUUAUUGUAACAAACAAAGCACUAAAUUUAAGAGCUAUUCAAAUAAGGCACAGCUUAUUUGAAGCGGGGUACAACCCCAAAUACCGGGUUAACCUAGAUAUAAUAAAUAAAGUGGGCCUAAAAGCAGCCAUCUUCUAAAAAGCGUUAAAGCUUAAUAUACCUCUAUCUACAAUUCCACAAUUUUCAAACAACCCUUCACUACUACUGAACUAUUUUAUAAUUUUAUAAAAGCCAUUAUGCUAGAACUAGUAACAAGAAAUUGCCCUUCUCCUAAAUGUAUAUUUAAACCAAGAUGGACCUACCACUGGUAGUUAACGCAAAUGUAAAAAAUCAUAGCACCACACGACUAGAAAACCCUAUGAUUUCCUCGGCGUUAACCUUACACUAGAGCAUUACAGGAAAGAUUAAAAGAGAAAGAAGGAACUCGGCAAAUUACAGUCCCGCCUGUUUACCAAAAACAUCGCCUCUUGACCAAUUAUAAGAGGUCCAGCCUGCCCAGUGACAUAGUUUAACGGCCGCGGUACCCUAACCGUGCGAAGGUAGCAUAAUCACUUGUUCUCUAAAUAGGGACUCGUAUCAAUGGCAUCACGAGGGCUGUACUGUCUCCUUUCUCCAAUCAGUGAAACUGAUCUCCCCGUGAAGAAGCGGGGAUUGACCUAUAAGACGAGAAGACCCCAUGGAGCUUUAAACCCAAUACACACCCCCUACGCACUCAAAUCAACAUAGCCCAAGAAAAUUGUGUAUCGGUUUUAGGUUGGGGGGACCGCGGAGUAAAAUCAAACCUCCACGACAGACGGAUUAAUACCCUUAUCCACGAACUACAAUUCUAAGAACCAAUAAAUUGUUGUCUAAUGACCCAAUUACUUGAUCAACGAACCAAGUUACCCUGGGGAUAACAGCGCAAUCUACUUCAAGAGCCCCUAUCGACAAGUAGGUUUACGACCUCGAUGUUGGAUCAGGGUAUCCUAGUGGUGCAGCCGCUACUAAAGGUUCGUUUGUUCAACGAUUAAAACCCUACGUGAUCUG